CAGAAGACCCUGUAGGUGUCCCAUAGGUACCCCAUAGCUCCUGUGCUGAAUCUACCAGCCAGGUAGACAUAAUAAGGCAUCCAGGAAAGAGCAUGUGGGAGGAAGAGUGAUUUUCACUUAUAAUAGACUGGUUCUGAAGUUGGCUCCUGUUGCAGGAAUUAUUGUGCUGCUUUAAAAUCUUGCUGGAAUGGAGGCAGAUGUAUUUUUACGCCCAUUCAGGACUUCUACGGGAUAUGGAAAUCUUGUGAAUACAGGAGCAGGGAGAAUUGGAGAAACAGCUUGCUGGUCAGACACUAGGCCUAUAUGAAAAUAGAAGACAUAGUAGA